UAAAUGUUAAAUGUGUCGCCAAGUGUAAAGUGGCGACAGUGUAAAAAUCCCCAGGGAAACCACGCCCAUUGCAGACUGCAAUGGCUUCAAAUCCCAAAUCGCGCGGCAAAGAUCGCAGGCCAGGCAUGGCCGGUUCUCUGGAAGUCCAAGACAUCGAACGGGCGAGCAGCUGUACGGGCUGCACUCCAGGGUGUAGCUCCCCCGGUCCAGUCCACAAAAGCAACGGCUGCCCACUGCCCUCCCUGGAAGAGCUUGCCAGCUCCCGCUGCCGAAACAGGACCAGAUCCAUUCUAAAAGACGCUGCGCACCCUGCUCACCACCUGUUCGAUCUGCUUCCCUCUGGCAGGCGAUACAGUUCAAUGAAAUCACGCACCACCAGACUAACCAACAGCUUCUUCCCCUGGGCCAUACGUACGCUAAACAAAAAAUAACCCCUGUGCAAUACAUAGACAACCACAUGAACGAUCACCACUACCUUUGGACAUUCCUCAUUAUGCUUACCUUCCUGGACCUGCUGCUAUAUAGAUAUAUGUGGGCAGAAGGGGUUGUUGUCUGGGAGGGAGGGGAGGGUGUAGGACACUUAAAUGUGCCUUAAGUGGAAGGCAGGGGGAGGGGUUAUUGGGGUUAUUGUUAUUGUUGUUAUUGUUAUAUAUUUAUUAAUAUUUCGUUCUGUAUUCUAUUCUUUUUAUUUUAUUUUUAAAAAGCACUGAACAAGGUCUGCACCUUAAUUUCUUUGUGUAAAUACACUGUAUUUAACCCAAUGACAAAUAAAGAUUCUAUUCUAUUCUGAGGUUUACAGGAGAUGCUGAACCUGCAUCCAGACGUGGACGCGUCAAAGCCUGUGUGCGGUUAAGUGGGAUAUGUGCCCAAAUAAGGAUCUUGCCGGUCGUUUGGAUAAGACGCCAGCAUAAGGAUCUUGCCGGUCGUUUUGGAUAAAACGCCAGCGUGGACCAGUCGACACGAGGACCGCGACUGUCCGCUCGCUUCCACACACACACGCACGCACUCCUCCAAGUGAGGUGAAAGGUACAUUUGUUGUUUGUUUGCUCCUGUGAGUGAAGCGGCCGUUCUGUUUUUGGCCUCCACGUACCCAAGCGACGACACAGGCCUGCAACGUGGGGAUAAAUAGUUUGUGCCGGCAUAGGACUUUAUAUUGCUUUGUACAUUAUCUUUCCAAAAUGCAUUUGAUUCCUUGUGUGAAUUGGUUUACUUGUGGGUCGAUGCACAGAAUGAUUCAUGUUGAUGUUUAACGUGUUAAUACAAUGAAACCUAUCUUUCAUAGUUAAUUAUGUGUGUUUUUAUUGUAAUUACCAGGCCAGUGAUUCCUGUUUAUUAGGGGUUUAGUUCUACAAUACUCUACGAGACACUACAAUACAACUAAACAUAAAAUCGGGUAGAUUACCACAUAUAGGGUGUUGUCAGUUUAUUAGGCCCCGUCCACACGAAGGCGAAACCGUUACGGUUUCGAUCUAUCCGGUUUCGCCGUAUCUCCGUAAAGACGAAACCAAGCGAAACCGGGUAGAUCUGUAGAAACGCUGUAGUACACAUUCCAGGCCCAUAAGGGGCGCUGCUUCUGCUACAGAAAUCCUUGUUGUUGUGAGUUCUGAGACUCCGCGGGCUUAACAGUCAUUGGCUAGAGGGUCGAGGGGUGGGGCGAUGACGUCAUGGUUUACGGUUUCAGUCGGUUUCAGGCGUCCACAUGAAUCCAAAACGAAACCGGGUAGAUUUGAAACCACCUCCGAGGGUGGUUUCAGAAGUUUGCGGUUUCGGUCAGCGGAUUCGCCGGCUUCGUGUGGACGGAAGGCCGAACCGUACAAGACCUUUGCGGUUUCGCCAUGAAAUCGGCUUCGUGUGGACGGGGCCCACGUGAACUUGGGAGCGUCCCAGUUAACUUUUGGGUUAAUUAGAAGAUCAUGUCCAUAGCCAUGGCAUGGGGGCGCUACAUAUAUAUAAGCAAUAUCACACUCGAGGUCGUGCUGUUGUAGUGCUGAUAUUAGUGAUUUUCCUGAUAUAUUGGGCAGGCGGAGUCAGACGAGACGAAGUAGAAGUUGAGCCUCUGCGUGCUGCAGCCCGGACUCGUAAAAACCGCCCAAUCUGGCAGCGCAGCCUGCACGUCCUCCAUGUUCUGACCUCAGCUAAUCACUGAGACCAACUGAAAUGAAGCCGAUACGGAACGUAAACUGUGAUUCUGAAAAAAGUAUAAAGGCGACCAACGCAGUAACCCAGAACGAGGCAAGACGACAGAGGGGAAGAUUUUCAUCAGUAGCCUAUUCGAUAGAGAUGUCUUUCGCCAAGAUAAGGAUUACGCCGUCGCAGCAGUCGAUCCUGCGGGCCUCCGAUGCGGCGGCAGCCUUCACCGCCGCCAUGGGGCCAGAAGCCGGGGGAGGUGGAGAAGGAGGCCCGAGCCCGCGUCAUCUCCGAGGGUGGUGACCCUGGGAACCCCAUGCUGGUGCUGGGCUGCCACAGCAUCCAGCUGGGCAAGUACCAGGGUCAGACCCUCAGAUGGCCCCUGGAGAACGACGUGGGCUACGCCUCUCUUGUGGUCGCCUGUCACCAGCGGGAUCGGGAGACGAGUGCCUCGGACAACCCGCUGAUGGCCAACAAGGACAGCCUCGCCCGGUAUUCCUGCGCCCAACCCGCUUUUGCUGAGCAUCUCUAUUUCCGCCGGGAGCAGGAGGAGGCCCGGCCUCGUGCCACUCUGCCCGGGCCGGGGGGCGAGGCGCUUGUUGGCUUCGGGCUGUUCAAGGAGGACACCCUGAAGGACCAGCGCCCUUCGGUUCCGCCGCCCCCCACAGAGGUGACGGACGAGGAGCUGGUCCGGAUGCUCACUGACGUUGAAAUGGACUGGAUAAAGUAACUGAUAAAAUAGGCCAUUUGAGUAAUUCCGAAAGAGCAGUUAAACUCUUCCUGGCGUAAAUCCUCCUGGUAAACCUUGGUCCAGGACAGCGGAGGAGCGCUUUAGCGGUCUACUCCGCCACCAGGGGGCGGCGUUUCACCGCUGUAACGGCACACUCCGCCACUAGGGGUCACUGUUUCGCCCAAAACCAAAACUAAAUAUUAAAUAAUAAGAGUUACGAUAUGAAAUAAAACUUAAAAGAUAGAACGCUUCACGAAUUUGCGUGUCAUCCUUGCGCAGGGGCCAUGCUAAUCUUCUCUGUAUCGUUCCAAUUUUAGUAUAUGUGAUACCGAAGUAACACAAAUAUUGCCUGAUCCUGG
ensembl:lncRNA